rnacentral:rRNA from 1 species
CUAUAUAAUUCCUUAAACCUAAAAAUUUAUUAAACUAAAACAUUCACCUUAUAUUUAAAGUAUAGGAGAUAGAAAUUUAUUUCAGGCGCCAUAGAAAAAGUACCGUAAGGGAAAGAUGAAAGAAUUAUUGACAGCAUAAGAAAGCAGAGAUUAACACUCUUACCUUUUGCAUAAUGAGUUAGC